rnacentral:rRNA from 1 species
UAGGCCAUCUUCCGCAAUGCACGAAAGGGUAUUGGAGCAAAGCGGCGUAAGUGAUGAAGGUUUUCGGCUCGUAAAGCUAUGAUGCCAGGGAAGUACAUAACUUAGAUUAACUGCUAAAAUAAUGACGGUACCCAGAAGAAAGCCCCGGCUAACUACGUGCCAGCAGCCGCGGUAAUACGUAGGGGGCAAGCGUUGUCCGGAUUUAUUGGGUGUAAAGGGUGCGCAGGCGGCUUUUUAAGUCUGGUGUUUAAACUAUGGGCUUAACUCGUGGUCGCAUUUGAAAAUGGGGGGCUUGAGUGCAGGAGAGGAAAGUGGAAUUUCCCGUGUAGCGGUGAAAUGGGUAGAGAUUUGGGGGGACCCCCGUGGGGAAGGGGGCCUUUUGGGCUGUUACUGACGCUGAGGCGCGAAAGCCUGGGGAGCCAACCGGGUUUGAUACCCUGGUUGUUCCCGCCGUUAAACGAUGAAUGCUAGGUGUUGGGGGUUUG